GGGAAUGUAGCUUAGUGGUAGAGUGCUUGCCUCUCAUGUAUGAAGCCCUGGGUUCAAUUCCUCACUACCA
rnacentral:tRNA from 1 species